rnacentral:lncRNA from 1 species
AGAUUUAAAGACACUAGCAUUCAUUGGCUGAAUUUUGUAGAAGUAUUAUCCAAGGGUUCACAUUCAUUUUAUGUGACCACCUUUAAUUGCCAACACUCAAUAUGGGAGUUUUGUAACUAUUCGUGUGCUUCAUGCAUUCAUGCAUAGUUAAGACAUUCAAUUUCAUGUUUGAUAGUGGCUGUUCAUAUGCCUAAGAGCAGACUAUAAAUAAUUGCUCAGUUUGUACUUUGGUUUAUGAUGAAUAAAUUUGCAUAUUGUGAGAUU